rnacentral:misc_RNA from 1 species
UAUUAUCCAUGAAUUGCAGCCCGACUUGAGCGGAACUCCUUUUUUGAAUUGCAAAAGCUUUGGCAAAAAGAGUGGGAGCGGAAGGCGGAAAUGCUG